UACGGAGGGGGCUAGCGUUGUUCGGAAUUACUGGGCGUAAAGGGCUCGUAGGCGGCAAUUCAAGUCAUCUGUGAAAUCUCCGGGCUUAACUCGGAACGGUCAGAUGAUACUGCUUUGCUAGAGUGCAGAAGGGGCAAUCGGAAUUCUUGGUGUAGCGGUGAAAUGCGUAGAUAUCAAGAGGAACACCUGAGGUGAAGACGGGUUGCUGGGCUGACACUGACGCUGAGGCGCGAAAGCCAGGGGAGCAAACGGG
rnacentral:rRNA from 1 species